AUAGGAGUCCUUUGGGGACAGAAACUGAAUUCCGCUUGUUAUUAACCUCUCCCCUUCCCUGGGCUGUGCCUUUCACCCGAACUCUGGUCCCGCCUUUCUCUGACACUCAGUUCAUUGGUUAUAUAUUUCCUAACGUUUGGCCUUUUAUCUCUCUCCUUCUCUGAGUGCCUUUUUCACAAGUGAAUUCUUUGGUUCAACAAGUCUCCAUGAAACACAUGCUUGGCAUAAUGCUGGGCCCCAGCAAACCUGAGGUUAUCCUUGUGUUAUCCUCACUCUAUCAAUGAAGGGACAGAAGAUCACCGACUCCUGAGAGCUCCCCGUUACCAAUACCGUCUGCACUGACUAGUGAAGAGAUUUUCAGCUUCAAGCAGCCACAAAGCCUCCCAAGCUGGAUUCAGGAAUUGAGAGAAUGAUUGGUUUGUACAAAUGAAAGAAGCAGGAUGAACCUCGGGUUUCACCCGAGUUGAGUCUGCUCUCAGAACAGGGAUGCCCACUGCCCUGUCCAGUACCAAAUGCUUCUGAGUGAAAGAAAGGAGCCUCUUCUCUGCCAGUGGAGGGAAGUUCUGGGCUGUCCCUCUGGCGCUGUGGCCUCUCGAUCCCCAGCCAGACACUGCUGCAGGAGAAUGAGCGGCCAGAAAGCAGCGUGUGAGCAGAAGACAGGACAGAGUGAGCCCGGGCCGAGGACAGAAGGGACAGAAGCACCGUGGAGCUCUGUGUUUGCUUUCGGCCCAGGGUCUGCAGAGGUCUGGCGAGGUGCGUCUGCGCGUGUGGCGGGAUAGGACCCUUAGACCUCCGACCUGAACACCACGCGCUCAGCCCAGGUUUUGGUGUGAGCUGUAUUUGGUCAACUGAGAAGUUAAAUUUUGCUGUGUGCCUGGAACCUGCAAUUCUGCAUCUGUUUGAAGGCUCAUUUUCCGUGUGAUCCACCAGCAUAAGAAGGUCAUCACAAAAUUUGCGAUGCAUCAUCAGUGGUUCCAGGGAGCCACUCCACCGUGCGGAGGGGCCAGGGUGGAGAUGUCAGGGGUUCCUCUUGCUGGACCAUGAGUGACGGAGAACAGCCCGUAUCGUUGCUCCUCAAGGGUGGGGAAGCAGUAAAACAUCAGGGAUAGGCCUGCAGGUGACAACAAAGGACAGGUCAGAGUUUACACGGUCGCUGACACAUGUAAGUAUGGGCGCUUCUUGGGUUACAGUGGAGCUACGUCCUGAUGAGUACCAAGAGCUGACAGUGUCACAGUUGCCAUGCACUGGACUCGUCUGUCUGCCAAACACCACAGCCCGUCCUGAGCUUCUCAGGUCUGCUCUGGGCACUCACCUUCGCUUGCCUUUGGGUAAAACCAUCUAACACAGGGCCUAUCUUACAAUAAAGCGUGGAUUGACCAUGAAAUUUACCCACUGCUGUUCUGAAAGUAAAAGGCAGAAUGGUGUGUGGAUGUGCUGUGGUACUAUUCUAAAGCCAAAAACUCAAAAACCAACUACUAUAAGUUGAAAACUUUCAGCACUGGCUCUCAGCAGCCUCGGACAUUACGAUAAUGUGAACGUGAUGCUCAUAGAAGUUCAUCCCGCUUAUUUUGCCUGAUUCACAGCUUCUCAUUGCACCUUGACUUAAAAAAAUCUGAUCUUUCCUUUAACACCAGUCAAAUAGAGUGAUGGAUCUUCAAGGGCACUGACUGUCCUGCACCAGACUUGUGAGCAGCUCCCCUCAGCCUGUCCCACUGAAAUUGAGGGCUGUGGGGUUGGAACAUGUGUGGUGCCCGUCAUUUCAUUGUUCAAACCUUGAGAAGUGGAAAUUUCUUUGCAGGUGUUCCAAUAAUUACUUCCAUAUGUCACAUUCACUGCUUCCAAAAGCAGGCCAGGCCUUCUCUAACCACGUAAGCAGCUCUCUGGGGAGACCAGCACUCGGUCCCCAACUUGACAUUUGCCACUGAGAGCGGCAAAUCAUGUGAUAGACUGUCCACCGCGAGACAGGAUGUGAGGCCCCCGGAAAUGCAGCUUCUUGCUGAACACUGUCCUGCAUGAUCGGAACCCCAUGCACUUCCUCGCUCCACUCGAAAGCCAUGACACUGUCGAUCACAAUGGCAGAAGUAAUUGGCAUCGAUUCAGAUGCAGACCUGGCCACAGAUGUGCAACCCACUGCACGUUUGAUUGUUUUUUUCUCUUUGCCAGUAUAAGUGAACUCUGUAAAGAUGUGAUUAAUGCCCUGUAUGUUGUUAAAUCCUCUGCAUAAAAACAGCUUGUAGCACAAAACAAAUGUUCAGUAAAUGAUAAAUACUCAAUGAAUAAAUGAAUGGACGUCAUCUGACUUCCCAUAGUACACAUGAGGGGCUUCCAGGUGGACGCGCCUCGAGGGGUGGAAACCUCCGGUCUGGGGAAGUGGUUUCCGCCCAGUUCUGCUCACUGGCCAGGCAUGGUCCCCACCUGCUCACCAGUCUCCUUGUUACCCGAUAUUCCUUAGCAUUGGGCUCUUCAGGAGGAGAUGUGAGCAGAAAGGUCAGAACAAAUGCGCAGUGAAUAAAAAUGGAGGGGAGAAUAUUAUAGGACUAAAUCCUCAAAAAGUGGUAGGUAUCAGCUGUUUGAGAGGGGGAAAGAAAUCUUAACUUCAAGUUUGGAUAUAACCAGGAACAAAAGGCGGUAGGUACUACGUGGGAUUUCCUUCACUGCUUCCGAGACCCUUCCCUAUCUUUUGUCUUAUUUGCAUGAAGACAGAAAUAAUCCACCUGUAAAAUAGAGAAGGGGUUGUUUUACAGGAAACAGGAAGAAGAAAGGCAACUCAGCUGAAGAAAAGAAACAAGGAAGAGGCACAGGAGCUGGGAGAGGGUCCUGGUCCCGGGGAACUUUCGUGGGCUUCAUAAGCCUCGGUUUCUUCAUCUGCGACUACAAGGCAACAUUCUCUUGCAAAUCUUCAC
rnacentral:lncRNA from 1 species